rnacentral:rRNA from 1 species
ACCACCCUUUAAUGUUUGAUGUUCUAACGUGGACCCGUAAUCCGGGUUGCGGACAGUGUCUGGUGGGUAGUUUGACUGGGGCGGUCUCCUCCUAAAGAGUAACGGAGGAGCACGAAGGUUGGCUAAUCCUGGUCGGACAUCAGGAGGUUAGUGCAAUGGCAUAAGCCAGCUUGACUGCGAGCGUGACGGCGCGAGCAGGUGCGAAAGCAGGUCAUAGUGAUCCGGUGGUUCUGAAUGGAAGGGCCAUCGCUCAACGGAUAAAAGGUACUCCGGGGAUAACAGGCUGAUACCGCCCAAGAGUUCAUAUCGACGGCGGUGUUUGGCACCUCGAUGUCGGCUCAUCACAUCCUGGGGCUGAAGUAGGUCCCAAGGGUAUGGCUGUUCGCCAUUUAAAGUGGUACGCGAGCUGGGUUUAGAACGUCGUGAGACAGUUCGGUCCCUAUCUGCCGUGGGCGCUGGAGAACUGAGGGGGGCUGCUCCUAGUACGAGAGGACCGGAGUGGACGCAUCACUGGUGUUCGGGUUGUCAUGCCAAUGGCACUGCCCGGUAGCUAAAUGCGGAAGAGAUAAGUGCUGAAAGCAUCUAAGCACGAAACUUGCCCCGAGAUGAGUUCUCCCUGAGACUUAAAGUCUCCUGAAGGAACGUUGAAGACGACGACGUUGAUAGGCCGGGUGUGUAAGCGCAGCGAUGCGUUGAGCUAACCGGUACUAAUGAACCGUGAGGCUUAACCUUACAACGCCGAAG